AGAAAUGAAACCAUCAGUUCCUGCAUAGGCAAAAAAAUUAAUUGUGCUCUCCUUUAAACACCAGCAUUAAUAUUCCAACAGGAAGUACAGUUACUGGUUCUGACUGGGACCCUGAUCUUACAUAGACUCAAGGACUAUAUAUUCACCAUGAAAUACAGUCACUGCUAUGAAGAACUUGCCUUCUACAGUAAACAGGACAGACAGACAAAAAAAUCAGAAGAAGAAAAGUUUGUCGACUCGUAGAAAUGGUAGACUUAUGAUCCCAGCCUGGUACCCACAGAUCCUGCUGCCAAGCCAGGGCUACUGGCUGUCACCAGCUCCUGUUCCCUACUUUUGUAUGUAUUCUCUUUUAAUGAAAAUCCUUUAUGAUGCAGUUUCUCAUUUUAUGUGCACCUCUAAAUCAAAGUCAGUGUUGGUGCAUUUUUGUAUAGAAGCUGUAAUACAGAAAUCUCAGGCUAGGUAAUGGCAAUAUUUCUGAAUCCAGUAAGAAAAUUUCUUCACCUCUUUCAGUCCCCAACAAAGAUUGGUCCCAGAGUGCACAGUACCUUAAUACCACAGUAUGGGAGAUGGACAAUUAAUAAACUUGAUGUCAGGAGUUAA